rnacentral:rRNA from 1 species
UAAAUUAUUAUUCAAAUUUUUAAUUAAAAUAUUUUAAGUUUUUAUUCUUAAUUAUAAAAAAUUAUAUUUAUAAUAGUAAAUUAGUAUAGUGAUAGAAUUUAAUUAAAAAUUUCAAAGAAAAAUUAUUUUGUACCUUUUGUAUCAGGGUUUAUUAAAAAUAAAUUAAGUCUUUAAUUUUCUCGAUUUUAAAAGAGCUAUAAGUUUAAUAAUUUUACUGUAAAAUAAUUAUUUUAAAUAAAUUUAUAGAAAUGAAAUGUUAAUCGUUUUUAAAUAUAUCUAGUUUUUAAAGAAAUGAAUUUAAUUCAUUUAAUAAAAUAUAAUAAAUUUUAAGUAUAAAAUUUAUUAUAUUUAUUAAAUAUAUUUUUGGGGAUAAGCUCGAGGAUAUAUUUUUAUAAACAAUUAAUUGUUAAUAGUUUGUAGAAUUAUAAAUUUUCAUCAUUUAAUUUGUUAUAAUUAAUUAUUAAUUAAAAUUAAUUUAUAUUUGUUUUAAUUUAUUUAUUUAAAAUUUAAAUUUAAUUUAAAAAUUUAAGAUAUAAUGAUAAAAUUAGUAUAUUUAUUAAUACAGGUAUAUAUAAUAUAUUAUAGAUUAAGUAAAGGAAUUCGGCAAUUUCUUUUUCGCCUGUUUAAUAAAAACAUGUCUUUUUGAGUAUAAUUUAAAGUCUAAUCUGCCCACUGAUUUAAUUAAAGGGCCGCAGUAUUUUGACUGUGCAAAGGUAGCAUAAUAAUUAGUUUUUUAAUUGAAAGCUGGAAUGAAUGAUUGAACGAGAAAAGAACUGUCUCUACUUAAUUAUUUAGAAUUUUAUAUUUAAGUUAGAAAGCUUAAAUAAAUUUAAAAGACGAGAAGACCCUAUAGAGUUUUAUAUAAUCAAUAUUAUAUUAAUUUAAAAAUAUUUAUUUUUGAUAUAAAUUUAUAUUUUGUUGGGGUGAUAUAAAAAAUUAAUAAACUUUUUAUUAAAAAUAACAUUUAUAUAUGAUUAUUUGAUCCUUAUAAGAUUAAAAGAAUAAAUUACCUUAGGGAUAACAGCGUUAUUUUUUUAGAGAGUUCUAAUCGAAAAAAAAGUUUGCGACCUCGAUGUUGGAUUAAAAUUUAAUUUAGGUGAAGAAGCUUAAAAAUUUGGUCUGUUCGACCAUUAAAAUUUUACAUGAUCUGAGUUUAAACCGGUGUGAGCCAGGUUGGUUUCUAUCUUUAAAUAAUGUAUUUAUUUUAGUACGAAAGGACCAAAUAAA